rnacentral:rRNA from 1 species
ACGAACGCUGGCGGCGUGCCUAAUACAUGCAAGUAGAACGCUGAAGAGAGGAGCUUGCUCUUCUUGGAUGAGUUGCGAACGGGUGAGUAACGCGUAGGUAACCUGCCUUGUAGCGGGGGAUAACUAUUGGAAACGAUAGCUAAUACCGCAUAACAAUGGAUGACACAUGUCAUUUAUUUGAAAGGGGCAAUUGUUCCACUACAAGAUGGACCUGCGUUGUAUUAGCUAGUAGGUGAGGUAAUGGCUCACCUAGGCGACGAUACAUAGCCGACCUGAGAGGGUGAUCGGCCACACUGGGACUGAGACACGGCCCAGACUCCUACGGGAGGCAGCAGUAGGGCAUCUUCGGCAAUGGGGGCAACCCUGACCGAGCAACGCCGCGUGAGUGAAGAAGGUUUUCGGAUCGUAAAGCUCUGUUGUAAGUCAAGAACGGGUGUGAGAGUGGAAAGUUCACACUGUGACGGUAGCUUACCAGAAAGGGACGGCUAACUACGUG